UACGUAGGGUGCAAGCGUUGUCCGGAAUUAUUGGGCGUAAAGGGCGCGUAGGCGGCGCAACAAGUCACUUGUGAAAUCUCCGGGCUUAACCCGGAGCGGCCAAGUGAUACUGUCGUGCUAGAGUGCGGAAGGGGCUACUGGAAUUCUCGGUGUAGCGGUGAGAUGCGUAGAUAUCGAGAGGAACACCUGCGGCGAAGGCGGGUAGCUGGGCCGACACUGACGCUGAUGCGCGAAAGCCAGGGGAGCGAACGGG
rnacentral:rRNA from 1 species